UUUAAGCAAUCCUCAGCAACAAUAAAAAUCCCAAGAUCCCAAAUCAAUUUUUUUUAUGAACUUUAAUUUAAAUGAAUAAAAAUCAUCUGCAUCAAUAAAAUUCCAAAAUCUCAAACUUGAAUUUCUAAUGACAUUAAAGCAGUAAAUUAUGGUGGCCUUCUCAAGCAUACAACGAGAACAACACCAACUAUAUGUGCAGGAAAACCAUUCAAAACAAGCAACCAUAUAAGCUACAAGCACAGUAGGAAGAAGAGAUGAAUUAUCUUCAAUUCAUUCAUUCACCAAGGAUCUUUGUACAUCACCACAUGAAUGGUAACAACAAUAUAUCAAUCUGAAACCACGACUACCACAAGGACGGUAGCGCCGAUAUACCAGAACUGAAUCUAGUGAGGUUAAUGCAUCCCAAAACAGCGAACUCAAGGCAACAAUUUCACAAUAUCAAAAUAAUGGUUUAAACAAACUAAGCACAGUGGAAAAAUAGAAAAAACCAACCAAAAUAAAAAGGGGUAAAAUGCCGAUGAACUUAAUUGCUGAAAUGUUGAAUUGCUCGCUAUCAUUGAGGUUAGUUGGUCGCGAGUUGCUUGAACCUAAGCCAGAACCGCAUCACCCUGACCAAACGCUCCUUUGCGUGUCCAUUUGUCUAAAGACCACCUAAAAGACCCACUUUCCCAACUGAGACUUUCUAAGGCUGAUAUUAUCCGAAAAGGCACCACGUGACUUUCGUCACACAAAUCGUAACGAGACUUUCAGAUGUCCUGUUAAUGGCACGUUGAGGAAACGACCUGACGAUUACGUAUCAGAUCGAACGAAAUGCUCUUGAGUUGAUCUUGGGGCGACGCGAUUUAAACCCGAAAUGGGGUCAAAACCAAAACAGCUGAUUUCUUGUUUUUUGGGGAGAAUCGCGUUCUUGUGCAUGUGAUAGAUAGCAGGUUUUCGGUGGUGUGAGGG
rnacentral:lncRNA from 1 species